rnacentral:lncRNA from 1 species
AUGCAUUUGCACACCUGCGUGACUGCUCGUGUGUGUGUUUGCACACCCGCACGGCUGCCCGCGUGUGCAUUUGCACACCUGCACAACAGCCCGUGCACAGCUGUCUGUGUGCAUUUGCACACCCGCACGGCUGCCCGCGUGUGCACGCACGCGCACGGGCGCAUUCGCACGCCCGGCCCCGCUCGCCCCCGCCGCGCUGAGCGUUGYUCACCCCGGCCGCAGACAUCCCCAUCGAUACUGCAAUUAGGUGCAAUUUACGGAGAGAUUGCCUCGAAUUUUCCUGUUAUUGUGCUUCAAAUAGCCGGGAAUUUCUCGCUGAGGGUUGCGGCUCCGUGGGGAGGGCAGAGCCCCUGGACGGGGGGGUGGAGCUGGGCACGGGGCGGCUGGAGAGGCAGCGCUGCAGCGAGCCCGGGCGCAGCGUCGCGGGGCAGCGCGGUCCGAGCCCUCGUGCCUUUGGCUGCGUAUCCCUCCCUCGGCUCCAGCGCCGGCCCUGCCAAGCCUCCGGCACGGGCGGCACGGCCGAAAGCAGAGCAGGAGGGCUGGCACCCCGUGGGGGAUCUGCCGCCCUCGCAGGGCAGGGAGGGGGGCCGUGCUGGAUUUGCUAGGUGCUGUGGGAUCCCGGGAGCCCCCGGAGCUGCUGGAGCCCCCCAGAGCCCCCCGUGGCACCCGGAUCCUCCUGCAGCCCCUGGAUCCCUCCAGAGGCCCUGGAUCCUCCUGCAGCACCUGGAG